UUUUCACACAAACUCCAUUAAAUGAACGGCGUCAGAGAAAGGAAGAGACAUGGAUAAGCUCUGUUAGAAGAAUUGCUUUGCAAGUGGAGUAAGCGCAGGAUGAAUUGAAACGGAGAGACUGGAAGCGGAGACUAGUGAGGAGGUUAUGACAUUAACACAGGCCCAAGUGCUCAAAUCAGCAUUUAGCACAGAAGAAAACUGGAACUAUGUGACCACUCUGGAAGGAAACAGAAUUCCUCAUUUCCUUGAUUCUAAUCUGUAUUUGCUACUGGAAAUAUGUCCGAUGCCCCACUAGGAAAAACCAGGAGAACAACAGUGGAAAUUGACCAGCUUGUGGGAGAUCUUCGUAUGUUUUAAAAGAUGAACGUUGACACCAACUUUCAAGAAAGCAAUCCAUUGUCCGUUGGGUGCCGUGCCGUCUCACUCUCAAGGAAAUUCCCGCUCUUGAUCCUCAAAUUCCA
rnacentral:lncRNA from 1 species